rnacentral:tRNA from 1 species
GAGGGUAUAGCUCAAGUGGGAGAGCGCAUGUUUAGCAUGCAUGAGGUCCUGGGUUCAAUCCUCAGUACUUCCU